UGAUGUUCUGAGUUGUUCAAAGCGUUUGUAAGGAUAGUGAUUGUUAGAAGGCAGCUGUCUUUGAGAUGAAGACCAGGAACGGUGUGUGUAACAUUAGCAACACAUUAUUAGCUGUUUGAUAACAUAGUCAAGCAAAAAGCUAAUUAUAUUACUUCAUAUUAAUGAAUGUCAGAACCAUCGCAAGGGCUGUGCCAAGUGUGCGAGCGCAUAGUGGCUCACACCAAAGUAAAGUGACAGCUGACUUGAAGUAAAGCCAAUAAAGUUCAUGUUUUUGUCCUUCUAAAUAUUUUAGUACUAUAAAACAUAGCUAAAACAAUAUUGCUCUGAGCUUGUGACCGUGAUUCGUGUGCAUAUUCAGUCAGUGUGGACUCGCACGUCAAGUUCUGAGAGAGCUAUUCAGUCCAUUAUAAAUUCUGAUUUUGGCCGCCUCUGGAAUGAAUCAAACCAUAGAUAUUAGCCUACCUGAUGAGUUCAAGUGAAUACGCUGAAAAUCCGCGCUCAUUCAAGGAUGUGCAUUUAUUUCAUGUACGGAGAAGGCACGGGCGCCUGAAGGAUUUCAUCUGAAUGUUUAUUUAAAUCUGAACUCCAAAAAGCAACGAAAUUGUCAAAUAUCCAUUUAGCGCAUGUUCACAGAGUAAAACGGCUGCUUGUUCUCUCAAUACUGUCUGUUUUACUGAGAAAUCGCUUCAGGUGAUUCAGUGAGAGAGCAGUCCAAACGUUUUGCAAAGGCGUUUUACCAAUUCAUAAUUUAAAACACAAUUUAAGCAUCAGAAAAUAUGAGCAGUUCAGCUGCACAGCUGUUAAACUGAAUAUACGAAGCGAAGCAAGCUUUUUUCUUAAAUAUCCAACACAAACAACAAAUUGCUCGUCACUAUAGCAACAUUAGACUCUCCGAGCUGGCGUGAGGGAGUGGAGGCGGGGCUAAUUUGCAUAUUCAUUGAUCCGUGUAUAUUAAAUGAGGCAAGGGUGUAGAGUUACAUUCAAGCUAUUUUAAGGCAUGAAGAAAUUAUUUUCACUUGAAUAUUUUUUUAAAUAUGUCAUUUGGUGAUCAAAGAUGAGUUUUAAGAGAUAAAAUAAUUGACUACAGGGGGACUUUAACAUAAUGCAAGGGUUAAACAGUUGACAAAAAUUGCACCUUGAGCUUUUAUAAAAGUUGACUGACAUAUUAUGAAGAUUAUUUUUUCGUAUUUAGCAUUUCUUUUUGUCCAUCAGAACCCGCCAGUUGAGAAGUGCUGGUCAACAGCCGAGAGCUUUAUCUUUAAAGCAUCUCUGAGUAAGAAGUAUACAAGCAGCAUUCCUUUAUAAAGUGUUUGAAGGUUGUAUGCUAAGACGUUUGGUUUGGUAAUAAUUUGAGAUCCUAAAGCACUAUGGCAGGUUUGUCUGUGUGUAUGUGUUUGUCAUCUUGUGCCGUUUGUUUUAAUGCAGGUGUCUGAAACAGAAAGCCAACAGUGCAAACACCAGCAACUGCAGCCAGGAAGACCAAACCAAUGCAAUCCCAACAUGUUCUAGUCAAGGCAACUCCAGAAACAAAUGCCAUACGAAAAACAAACAAAGGAACGACAAGCGACAGAAAUGAAAGGAUCUCUUUCAGAAGUAAACAAACCCCUAUGUGGAGACUCAUACCGCUCAGCGUCUAUCUCAUCUGUGUUAACUGUGCAUCUCUGGGUGUGACGUCGCAGGUUUACAGAAAACUCUUUGGUGGAACCGGAAUCAAGAGUCCCGUAGGCGAUUUCCGUCUGUUUGGCGAGGUCCUCUGCGCUCUCGAUUGGCGACACCAUUCUCUCCACGGUGAGGAAGGCGGCC